rnacentral:rRNA from 1 species
GACGAACGCUGGCGGCGUGCUUAACACAUGCAAGUCGAACGGACAGGCCCUGCUUUUGUGGGGUGCUCGAGUGGCGAACGGGUGAGUAACACGUGUGUAACCUGCCCUUGACUUUGGGAUAACUUCAUGAAACUGGGGCUCAUACCGGAUAGGAUCUCUUGCUGCAUGGUGGGGGUUGGAUAGUUUCGGCGGUUGGGGAUGUACUCGCGGCUUAUCCGCUUGUUGGUGGGGUAGUUGCUUACCAAGCCUUUGACGGGUAGCCGGCCUGGGAGGGGAACCGGACACAUUGGGACUGAGAUACGGCCCAGACUCCAACGGGAGGCAGCGGUGGGGAAGAUUACACAAGGGGAGGAAGCCUGAUGCGACAACGCCGCGUGCGGGAUGACGGCAUUCGGGUUGUAAACCGAUUUCGCCUGUGACGAAGAGAGAGUGACGGUAAUGGGUAAAGAAGCACCGGCUAACUACGUG